rnacentral:lncRNA from 1 species
ACUGUCUUCGUCUCUCAGGUGGGGGAAAAGGGAUAUAGAAGCAUAUAGUCUAAGCUGGGAGUUAAAAACACUAGGUUAAAAUCCUAGCUUUGCUACUGAAUAGCUGUGUGACCUUAGGCAAUUUACUUAACCUCUCUGAGUCUCUGUAAAAUGGAGGGAAAAAAUGCUUCUCUGGAAGAGUGGUUAAAUACUUGAAAGAGGCAAUGUAACUGUCUUAUGCCUAGAGCAUAGUAGGUGCUUAACAAACAGUAGCUUAUUUCUGGCAUUAUAAUUAGAUGAGGGGAAGGUCCCUCCUAGCACAGACCCUGGAAGAUUCUAUGACUCAGGGAGUGGGCAGAUUGCAUCCAUGGUCCCUGCCCUCAUUUGUAGCUACCUGAAGGGCCUGUCUCAGCAAUAAAAACAGCCAAGUGAGCACAGGCAGAGAAACAUCAUUUCCUCCUCCUCUUGAGGGCAGGAGUCCAGGCGCAGCCCCAGCAGCAGGCCAGAGAAAGAGCAUUGGAUUGGAAUCAGAUAAAACCGGGUUCAAAGCUCAGAGCUCCUACUCAUCAGACUCUCCAAGAUAUGCAGAGCUUUGGGCCAGGAUCCUACAGCCACGGGUCAUGCAGAGCCAGUUGGCCACAUCCUUUGGGCCAAAUUUGGUCCUAACCAGGUCUUACCACGGUAACUGCUAACCAGUCCAUCUUCAGUUAAUAUUUCAUGCAAAACAAUGGGCAAGUCAGCUCAUGAAGAACUUUUCAGAUAUUCAGACUAUUAUUCUGAGAGAGAAAAUAUUGGCAGAGAACAGAUGGGAUUUUUCUCAAGGAAAAGAAAUGGAAAUCCUACAUCUUGCAAGAAAUAGAAAAAAAUAAAUAAACUGUUUGAAGAAGAAUCACAUCAGGCUGGCAGGAGAGAGCCUGCGGCUCGGUGUCUGACCCAGAAUGUUAAAGCCAGCCUGGCUUGGCUCCAGGAUAAAGGACACUCUGUCAGCCUCUCCACAUUGAUUCAUCUCCCCAGCCCCAAGAUCAGGAGAGCAUUCUGUUCCUUGAAGCAUUUUAUGACUGUAAGUCAGAAGUGCUGCAGUUUUAAUAAAAAGCUGUAUUGUCCU